rnacentral:sRNA from 1 species
GAAGGAUGAGAAGCUUCGACUAAGGUUCGACUCGAGCGCCAGCGAGAGAGCGUUGCCGCAGGCAACGACCCGUAGGGCGAAGCGCGCAGCGCUGAGUAAUCCUUCCCCCACCACCA